rnacentral:rRNA from 1 species
CGUGUAGGCGGUGCGGUAAGUUGGGCGUGAAAUCCCCGAGCUUAACUCGGGUGGGCCGUUCAAGACUGCCGUGCUAGGGUGCGGGAGAGGGAAGUGGAAUUUCCGGUGUAGCGGUGAAAUGCGUAGAUAUCGGGAGGAACACCUGCGGCGAAGGCGGCUUCCUGGACCGUAACCGACGCUGAGGCGCGAAAGCUAGGGGAGCAAACAGGAUUAGAUACCCUGGUAGUCCUAGCCCUAAACGAUGAGCACUGGGUGUGGCCCCUCACGGGGCUGUGCCGAAGCUAACGCAUUAAGUGCUCCGCCUGGGGAGUACGGUCGCAAGGCUGAA